UGUAUACAGAAACCCUAUUAAUCAUUUACGUUCAGCUCAAACAUGCAGUAGCUCCUUAACUUGUCGUACAAUAUUCAUAUUAAAAGUUCAGCAGUCGGAGUAGCGUGCAUUCACAGAAUCACAGUAAAUGUGGAUUAGUUCAUUGUAAUGUUUGUUAUAGAAAGACAUUAGAGAAUCAGUAUGUUGGUGUUGGCAACGUCACUAGUAAUCGAGGGGGCAAUCGUUAGCCUCGCCUCCUUUGGUUCUGCUCCUAAAUUAAGCUCAAAGAUCCGAGUGUAAGUGCAUAACAACCACCCCUUUGUUAUAACAUUUUGUCACACACGUAAAUAUUCCAACACUUCACACACUCCCCGCGGAUGCAGUUUCAUUUUUGUACCUUCUUACAAAUUACUGUACUACUUGGGAUGAAGAGUAGGGAACGGUUGACAGACUCGAAUAUCAAGAUUCUAUACAUAGUACCCGUUUCAUCUUCUGGUAAUCGUUCAUCCGAAAGCUGAAAGUUAGAGUAGGUUUGGGGGAAGACAUAAUGUGGGCACUUGUCAACCACAUAUAUGUAAUGUAGGUGUAUAUAUGCCUCAAGAGAGGAGAUCUUAGCCUUCUGCAGUUGAGAGAAGUCAGUUUCAUCUGAGGAGGAUACACCAAAGUUGCCGCGGCAUCCCUUGUUCCUUCCUAGCUCUAUUAGUCUCAUAUCUGUUAAACUUUUUUCCGAUGUACGGUGGGUACCCAUACUAUUGACAGCCUUCUCAUUUCAGCUUCACCGCACGCAAAUAUUGCACAGAUAUGUCAUGCCGAUGUAUCUCUUAACUGAGAUCCGGGGCUACAGAUCAUCCAUCAGCAAAUGCAUGCAUUUGUCCAACAAAUUUUGCUAUGCAAUACGCAAGGGCCACCAGUGGACAUCGAAUGGAACCUUACGAUCGAUGACAAGUUUGAAGAUGAAACGUGAUGGGCAUGCGCUUCAUCAUACGCAGAACGGAUGGAGGAGAAUAUAUAUCAAACGCGCUAGCAGCUUGUCGCCUGUAUAUUCAUGGAUGUGGGAUGGAUGAAAUUUUUGUGGUUGGUCAGGAUUCAGGUACCAAAAGAAAGAAAAAAUCGUAACGCAAAUGCGAAUGCCUGAGCAAGCAUGCGAUCAACAGGCUACAGAUAUUACAAGCUGAGACAUAACUGCAAACUUAAAACAACAAAACAAACAAGAACUCCUGAUGCAAACAUACAAGUAAAUUUAAAGCUCUGCUCUCACAAGUCAGAACAGUCACAACCAUAGAUUUCUCAGAUCGAUUUCUCUCUACCUAUCCAAGUGAUGGCAUGUCAAUGGCAUGCAUUAUUCAGUAUUAUUUGGUUGUAAUCUUAUGCAGAAAUGUGGUUUCCAAUCAAUAUUGUGCAGAAAUCUGCAGAUGCAUGCUCUUUCCCUUGCAUGUAUGUCCUUCAAAAUCUAAAUUUCUUUUUCUCCAAUGGAUCCGUGGAGACAUUCUUCCGUGCUGACAACCGGACCGCAUGGUCAUCCAACAGCACGCAUAAAACACCUCACUUCCCAUAUUUUGGUCUCGCCCGCCCUCCGGUCCACGCCCUUGUGCCGGGUGGCCACAUACGCCGUUCGGACUGAAGAAUUUCUCCACUUGAGGAGGCUAGGACAAGUUAGGCUGAACCCAUUUCUGGGUGCCCCUAUAUGGUCAACCAACCCUCGGUCUGUCUUCUCGUUUAUUUUAUUUUUCCAGGAUAAGGAAAGAAAAAAAAAAGAAGCCCCAAAUAAGGAAAAAAAAGAGGAAAAUAACUACAAGUAGUGCCUCUUCGACCUUCUUCUUCUACUUCGUCUCCUUCUCUCUCUCUCUCUCCGUUUCUCUCUCUCUCCCUCUCUCUCUCCGUUUCUCUCUCUCUCUCUCUCUCUCAAAGUCGACUCACAAGGAAACAAUCUCAGUCCAUUCAAAUUUCUCUUCCAAUUUCCAUCUGUAACAUUCUUCAGAUUUCCCAGAAACAGAAAUGGUUCUUGCACAACUGUUCUGUAGACAUCUCUCUCUAUUAAAUUCUUCCGUGCCAUCCAUUUUUCCACAUAUGUUCAUCUCCUUCUCUUGAGCCACACACACACCCUUUCCAUUCCAAAUUCCAAACCCUUUUGAGCUUAAUCACCGUUGUUUUUCCUCUGUAAUUUCCAACCCAAUGUUACACAUUUCUCUCCCUUUUCUUAUUUCGUCUCAUUAAUUUAAUUAAUUAUCGACAACACUCCUUGUACUCUCCUCAACCCCACCUCACCAGCUGUGGCUUAAUUUGCGCUUUAUUUUUCUCAAUCCUCGAUCGUUUCUUUGGCUCAAAGGGUUCUUGGGUUGCUUUGGAUCUAAUUCUUGUUCCAUUAUCCCAUAUUGCUCCAUAAAUUUGAAGUGGGUUUGUUUUGUUUGUGCCUAAUAUUAACAUUUUGAUUGGUCACUCAUGCUUGAAUCUCAGCUGAAAAACCCAGCUCGGGCUGGGACUGGGGUUUCACAAUCUCUGCAGAAACAAGUAGCUCCAAAUGAUAACCCCGGUCAACCAGAAUCGCCCUUCUCCAUAAGACAGUAUGUUCUUGAUUGUCGCCAGAAAGAUGUAUUUUCUAACUGGCCAUUUCCAGAGAAAUACUUGCAAAUUUGUCUCGACCAUGGUAUUAGUGAUGCGUUGCCGCCCUUUGAAUCCCAUACUUCAGCUAUCAAAUCGAUUAGGGGAGCGGUAGGUUUGAAUUGUACUCAACAAGAUGAUAACAAUGCUGUUGACUUUGAAAGCGGAGUACCAGAUAUCAUUGAGGAGACUGAAGAUGGGAGUAAACUAUACUCUGACAAUGAGGAAGCAAUAUCAAAACUUUCAAAUCAGCACUGCCAUUUCUCUCCUUCAAAUAGUAGUCGUGAGCGUGAAGAAAACAAGGCGGACUUUAGUUCCCACAUAUCAUCCAAUAGCAUAGUUUCAACUGAUCAACCUUCAACUACAAUACCAAGUUCACACCUUAAUGUUGUUGAGUGCAAUGAAACUUUGACUUCUUCUAGGAAGCCAAGGCAUAUGAAAAAACGACACAGGGGUAAGCAUAAGAAGAGGUCGAUGGGGAAUAUCUUAGAUGUAGCCAAGCCUUGUACACCGGAGGAUCUCCUUAGAAUUAAAAGAUUGUGCUGUGUUUCAAGCGUACCUCUUGUGAAGGGGGGUGAAGCAAUUGAGAAUUUGAUCGAUGCUAAGCAAGAUUGCAACUCUGAUCUAACCAAGGAUAACUCGAGUGAAAAGCUUGAGAGAGAUGGUAGUGAAGCAGCGAAUCUCAGCAUGCAGUCCAGCAAAAAAUUUGUAGUGAAGUUCACGUUUAGCGGUUGCAAAUCGAAUGUCUGAAACAUAUAUUAAAAAUAUCGCACAUUCUAUGAGCUAACACCGAUAAGCACUCUCAAAGCAUGUAUAUUUUCCGGCUUUCCCCUUGAAAGCUAACACCGAUAAGCAUUCUCAAAUCAUGUUUGUCCUUCAUGGCUUAGAUCUCUGUGCAAGAAAAAGGAUAUCGUCAAAAUUUAUUCUUUUAGUAUAGUUUAGUUAGAAAGUCGAGCACCAUGAACUUCUCAGUUGGGUGUGACGUACGUUGUUUAAAGGAUGCCUGCUCGACGGUGGGGUGCAUCCAGCUGUUUAUCUCAAACCAUAUCCAAGCUAAGGAAAACACAUAUGGCCUCUUGCAUUUCCAGCCAAGAUUCAGAUUUCCUCCGGAGAGCAAGCCACAAAAUAUUGCCGUAUGAUGCCAACUUAUUCAUCGUUGUGUUCCACAGGCUUGAGAUAGCUGAGUGGUCAUGGUCAUCUUUUCAAGUCAUUUUCUUUCCUUGAUGAAUGCCACCGAGCUAAUGCACCUGUUGUGACACGUCAGAAACCUAAACUUGCUCACACGAAAUGUCCUUCUAUGACUCGACUAUAACUCAACAAAGUAGAUGGUUCCAUUGCCCUCAAGCAGUAAACAAUCUUAUUGACGAGACAAUGUUACCGUAGCAGUUUCUUCUUUUAUUUUCUUUUGAGUGGAUUCCCAGAGAAUGUACUUGUACUAGGGUUGCUCACUCUUUGAUUAUAAUUUUUGUGAAGAAUACAACUUAUUGGAUAUUGCUUGCCUAAAAAAUCAUCACCUGUGAAUAAUGUGACGUUGAACUUCUUUUAUUUCUUA